rnacentral:rRNA from 1 species
UGAAGCCUAGCGAUUGAAAAGUUAGUGGCGGACGGGUGAGUAACGCGUGGGUAACCUGCCUUGUACAGGGGGAUAACAGUUAGAAAUAGCUGCUAAUACCGCAUAAGCGCACAGUUCCGCAUGGAACAGUGUGAAAAACUCCGGUGGUGUGAGAUGGACCCGCGUCUGAUUAGCUAGUUGGCAGGGCAGCGGCCUACCAAGGCGACGAUCAGUAGCCGACCUGAGAGGGUGAUCGGCCACAUUGGGACUGAGACACGGCCCAAACUCC